rnacentral:rRNA from 1 species
ACGGAGAGUUUGAUUCUGGCUCAGAACGAACGCUGGCGGCGUGGAUAAGACAUGCAAGUCGAGCGAGAUUUUUUCCUGUAGCAAUACGGGGAAAAGUCUAGCGGCGAACGGGUGCUUAACACGUGGGCAAUCUGUCGAGAAGUGGGGGAUAGCUCGCCGAAAGGCGAAUUAAUACCGCAUGUGAUCAGAGUGGACAUCCAUUCAAAAUCAAAGUCGGGGCAACCUGACGCUUCUUGAGGAGCCCGCGGCCUAUCAGCUUGUUGGUGAGGUAACGGCUCACCAAGGCGAUGACGGGUAGCUGGUCUGAGAGGACGACCAGCCACACUGGGACUGAGACACGGCCCAGACACCUACGGGUGGCAGCAGUCGAGAAUUUUUCUCAAUGGGGGAAACCCUGAAGGAGCGACGCCGCGUGGAGGAUGAAGGUCUUCGGAUUGUAAACUCCUGUCAUUGGGGAACAAUGCGUGACGGUUAACUGCCGUCGCGUUGAUAGUACCCGAAGAGGAAGAGACGGCUAACUCUGUGCCAGCAGCCGCGGUAAUACAGAGGUCUCAAGCGUUGUUCGGAUUCAUUGGGCGUAAAGGGUGCGUAGGCGGCGCGGUAAGUCGGGUGUGAAAUCUCGGA